rnacentral:misc_RNA from 1 species
UGGGAGUAAGAUGCAUAAUGUGUUGAUUUGGUAUUCGGCUUAUGAUUUUGACUCGAAAUGCCGUAUCAGUGAGGCCUCAUUUCAAUUCUACGCUAAGGAAGAAGGAAAUGUCCGCAAUAGCAAGGCAAUAGUCAAGUGUGGAGUCCAUAUAUUGUUUGACGAUGAUAUUGAUAACUUCCACUCACCUUCCAAAUUGGAUAAGAUCCAACCGAUGAAUUGGCUUUUCAAAAUGACAUAUAAGCAGCGAUUUUAUUCUGAAUCGAGGUUGUAUGUUCCUCA